GUCUGUAUGAUUGCUAUAUAGAGUCUAGCCUGCCCACUGAUAUAAAUUGAAGGGCCGCGGUAUUCUGACCGUGCGAAGGUAGCAUAAUCAUUAGUCUUUUAAUUGAAGGCUCGUAUGAAUGGUUGGACAAAAAGUAAGCUGUCUCCUUUAUAAAAUUUGAAUCUAACUUUUAAGUGAAAAGGCUUAGAUAACCUGGGGGGACGAUAAGACCCUAUAAAGCUUUACAACAAAAUAAAUGUACUAUCAUUUAUAAUAGUUUAACUUAGUUCAUAUAAGAGUUGUUUCGUUGGGGCGACGAGAAUAUAAUGAAAUAACUGUUCUUUUAUAAAAAUGCAGCAAUAACUGCAGAAAGAUUGAUCCUUUACUAAAGAUUAAAAGAUUAAGUUACUUUAGGGAUAACAGCGUAAUCUUCUUUAAGAGUCCAGAUCGACAAGAAGGGUUGCGACCUCGAUGUUGAAUUAAGGGUUCCUCGUGGUGCAGCAGUUACGAAGGAAGGUCUGUUCGACCUUUAAAUCCUU
rnacentral:rRNA from 1 species